rnacentral:rRNA from 1 species
CACGUAGGGUGCGAGCGUUGUCCGGAAUUAUUGGGCGUAAAGAGCUCGUAGGCGGUGUGUCGCGUCGGCCGUGAAAACCUGUGGCUUAACUAUGGGCUUGCGGUCGAUACGGGCAUCACUGGAGUUCGGCAGGGGAGACUGGAAUUCCUGGUGUAGCGGUGAAAUGCGCAGAUAUCAGGAGGAACACCGGUGGCGAAGGCGAGUCUCUGGGCCGAUACUGACGCUGAGGAGCGAAAGCGUGGGGAGCGAACAGG